rnacentral:rRNA from 1 species
GACGAACGCUGGCGGCGUGCUUAACACAUGCAAGUCGAGCGGAAAGGCCCUUUCGGGGGUACUCGAGCGGCGAACGGGUGAGUAACACGUGAGCAACCUGCCCUGGACUUUGGGAUAACCCUCGGAAACGGGGGCUAAUACCGGAUACAACCUUUACUCGCAUGGGUUUUGGUGGAAAGUUUUUCGGUCUGGGAUGGGCUCGCGGCCUAUCAGCUUGUUGGUGGGGUGAUGGCCUACCAAGGCGACGACGGGUAGCCGGCCUGAGAGGGCGACCGGCCACACUGGGACUGAGACACGGCCCAGACUCCUACGGGAGGCAGCAGUGGGGAAUAUUGCACAAUGGGCGGAAGCCUGAUGCAGCGACGCCGCGUGAGGGAUGACGGCC